rnacentral:rRNA from 1 species
AGCUUAAUGAAUAUAAAUAUUAAGUUUUUCCUGCCCAGUGAUUAAUAUUUAACGGCCGCAGUACUUUGACUGUGCUAAGGUAGCAUAAUAAUUUGGCUUUUAAUUUAAGUCUAGCAUGAAAGGAAUCAUGGGGGAUAUUUUUCUUUAUUUUAAUUUGUAAAAAUUAUUUAUAAGGUGAAAAUACCUUAGUUUAGAGGAAAGACGAGAAGACCCUAAGAAUUUUACUUUUAAAAACUUAAUCUUAGAAGUUUUGUUGGGGUGACAAGUUAACAAUUUAACUUAACUAAUAUAGACUAUUACAGGCCGAUUUAUAGUAAGUAUGAAAAAAUUACCUUAGGGAUAACAGCGUAAUUUUUUUUAAGAUUGCGACCUCGAUGUUGGAUUAGGGACUUAAUGAUAAGCAAUCUAUUAAGAUAGCUCUGUUCGAGCUUUGUACCU